AGUAAUAACAUCUUUCUCAGCUCUGAUUAUUCUUCCGAUCAACAAAAGAGUGUUGAAACUAGGCGAAGCUCAUCAUCGAUCCUCGAAACGUCCGCUACCUUCCCCUUCCUCAUCUCCUCUUCCUAAUGGCAAACGAUCAAAGGUGGGUUCGCCUUCUAUUUUGGUUAGGGCUUAUCUAAAUUCUUACAAAUUUCUAUAUUUAUGUACAUGUGCAUGAAUGGAUUUUUGUGAUUGGUUUGAGUUUGAUUGGUUCUGUUCGGUGCGCCAGGCGGCUGAGUCUUCGUCCUCAACUAACGACACGUCGCCGCCUGAAACCCUAGGUUCGGCGAAGGAUUUCGGUGGGGAAUCAAGAGAGCAGGAGGUUCGAUCAUCUGAUCCGUAUGUUGUUUUUUCAAAGUCAAUAUUAGGGGAUAAAGCAACCACUCAUUGAUCUUCGCAUUCUCGAUCCCAUUUUAUCUGACCCUUCUACCAUUUUGACCCGUGAAAAGGCCAUUGUUAUCAUUUAGAGGUACUGGAACUGAAAUAAAUAGGUUUCUUUUAAAUUUUUGUUGUGCAAAUAUCUGUCAUGUUUUCAUCUGCACCUAUCCGUGUCCCAUGCAUAUAUCUAAGCAAUAAUGUCAACUUUAAUAGAUCCUAAAUACCCUCUUUUUUGCCGGCCCUACCAGAAUACGCUUUGCUUCCGCAAACAGCUUGAAUUCGAAUUCUUAUUAAGUUUUCAUUGUUAUACUAACAAGAAAAUCCAAUUUUGUUCUUUUUAUUCUAUAAUAUCAAUAUCUCAAUGUAAGGGUGGGUUUGAUUCUGUGAUCACAAUGUGUCUAAGCAUGGGGUAGCUUGAAGAAGCUAAGAGUUUGUCUCAUGGAGCAGGUGAGAAAAAAUUGUUGUCUUAGGCGGGUCUUGUCUUAGCAAGUUAGUAAAUUAAAGAAUGGUUAUAUUUAUUGGAUUUCUUAGCAUGGUUGAGUCAAACUUAUUAUUAGUUAUGGUUGGUGUGCAAUAAUUUUGAAUUUUUAGACUUUAAGUUCUAUUUAUAUUAUGUGUGAACUUGGGAAAGAGUGAUGGAAAGGAAAAGAAAAUGAAAGUUAAUUUUUUAAAGAUUUAUCAACAAUUCUACACAUUAAAUUUUAAGAUCUAUACUUGAUAUUAGGUUAUCAGAUGUAGAUAUCAAUAUAUCAUUAGACUAAUUAUAUCCAUUAGGAGGUUUUUUCAGUGUUCUAAAAAUUCCCGCUUAGGUUUGUCUAGGCCCCGCCUAGGCGCUAGACCCCCCAUGGCUCCCCUCCUAGGUGCUAGGCCCCCUGGCGCUUCACCUAGGCGGCAAAAAUAUCCCUCCAGGAAAUUAGGAAGUGCCUAAGCGGAGAGAUGUUUUUUUUAUUUUAAUAACUACCCAAACCAGAUCUUGAUUUAUUUAUUUUUCUAAUGAUUUAUCAUAUUCAUAAUGCUGGUUGUAGCAUAUCAAAUUACAACAAGAAGUGAACAAUAUCAAGUCAAAAUGGAUAAUUUUAUUAUAGCUGUAAUUUUUUGAACUUGUACCAAGUUCAAAUUAUGUAAAUGAUGAUACAUUUGUAAUAUUUAGUUUAAUUUAAUAUAAUUCUUAAAUUUAUGUUUAGUUUCUUAUGUUUUAAUAUUGAAUUGAAUUCUUGAAAUUUUAUUAUUUAAUAACAAUCUUGUUUAUGAAUAAAACUAAUACGUAAAAGAUAUGUUUGAACUUUGAACAAUUGCAUGUUUGUGUUUGAACUUUGACAUUGACAAUAUGGAUGUGUUUGAAGUUUAAGCAAAUGUCAUUAUUAUCUUUAUUAUAGAUUAUUUUGUUUUAUAUUAUUGUUUUGUUUGGAUAAAUGUAAGAUAAAUUAUUAAAAUUGGCUUAAAAUAAAAAAUUUUACCUAGGCCCCGUACAUGCCCUGCAUAGGCCCCCCGGCCCGCCGUCUCCCGCCUUUUAGAACAUUGGGUUUUUCCCCUUGUAACAUUUCCUUUAGCCUGAGUCCUUAGUUUUGGCAUUGGUCAUCCUUGCUGAACUUGGAGGAAAGUUGUUAUUCCUAUUACUAGAAAAUAAUUUGAACCUGAUACUAAUAUAGAUAAUGAUCAUCAAAUGUGCCAAAGUGGAAAUUUUACAGAUGGUAAUGAUUUAAUAUAUUGGAACACCACAGUUUUUACAUGGUUCAGAUUUUUUUUGCAUACUACUUUGAAAUUUUGGAGGUAAAACAAUGAAAUAUUGACUAAAUGUACUCAGUGUUCUAAAAAUCUCCGCCUAGGUCCGCCUACGUGCUAGCCCCCCCGCCUAGGCGCUGGCCCCCUGGCGCCUCACCUAGGCCCAGUGUGGAAAAAAAAUUCCUCCAAGAAAUUAGGCGGGGUUUAGACAGAGAGGUUUUUUUUUUAUUUUAAUAACUAUCCAAACAGAUCUUGAUAUAUUUAUUUUUCUAAUGAUUUACCAUAUUCAUAAUACAUGUUGUAGCAUAUCAAAUCACAACAAAAAGUGAACAAUACAAGUCAAAAUGAAUAAUUUUACUAUAGUUGUAAUUUUUUGAAGAUCACCUUCAAAUUAUAUAAAUGAUACAUUUGUCAUAUUUAGUUUAAUUCAAUAUAAUUUAUAAAUUUAAGUUUAGUAUCUUAAGUUUUAAUAUUGAAUUAAAUUCUUGAAAUUUUAAAUUUUAUUAUUUAAUAGCAAUCUUUUUUAUGAAUAAAACUAAUACGUUAAAAAUAUGUUUGAACUUUGAACAAUUGCGUGUUUGUGUUUGAACUUUGACAUUAACAAUAUGGAUAUGUGUUUGAACUUUAAGCAAAUGUCUUUAUUAUCUUUAUUAUAGAUUUUAUUUUAUAUUAUUGUUUUAUUUGGAUAAAUGUAAGAUAAAAUAUUAAAAUUGACUUAAAAUAAAAAAUUCCGUCUAGGCUCCGCCCAGGCCCCCCUCGGCCUCCCGCCUUUUAGAACAUUGAAUGUACUAAAUUGUAGCUAACAAAACAAUCAAUAUCAAGAAAUUGACUAACAUAAAGCAAUUCAUUACCCUCAGCUAAAACUUAGAUAAAUUUGAUAUACUUGAUAACGUAAAGCAAUUCAUUAAAAUGUGAUUUUUUUUUUAAGUUGUUUUUUUUAAAAAAUUGUGAGAUGUGUUUCUAUUUAACUUUUUUAUGUUGGAUUUUUUUUUGGGUGUGAAAAUAGGGAUUUUAAAUGAUCAAUUUUUGCAGGUUUAGAGAUUGUGCGAUGAUCGCAACCCAAAUUUUGUGAACAAAGUGGUGACCCUCUUCUUUGAAGUUCUGAGAAUCUUCUCCUCCACUUGAACAUUGCUCUGUGAGGGUUUUUUAGCUUCUUUAUGGUUUGUUUAGCAAUUAUGUGUUGUAGUAAUCGUUGUUAUUGUUCAAAUUUUGAAUGUGAUAAAGUUUUGUAGUUUCAGUUUAUUAUAGCAAAAUCAGAAACAACAGGAGUUCAUUGUAGCUACCAUUACUGAGCUAUCCCCAUUCUUUUUCUUCAACUCCGUCUCUGCCUGUUGUGGCUCGAUUAUGCUCCGAAUCUGGAUUCCCGGCUCUCCGAUUUGAUCAAGAUGGUUCUCAACUUCACUACUUCGAGCUUCAGCUAUCUUAGGUUAAUUUUCCAUUUUUAAACUCACUUAAUUAUAUAUACUUUACUUUGAAGAGUUGCAUUUAUGUUGUUUAGUGGGAUUUUGUUUUUCGUAAAUAGUUGUAGAGUUAUGAGAAACUUUUCCUUCAGUUGAACAUUGCUCUAUGAGGGUUCUUUAGCUUCUUUAUGGAUUGUUUAGAAAUUCAAUGUUGCGGUAAUGGUUGUUAUUGUUCUCAAUGAAUGUGAUGAAGUUUUGUAGUUUCAGUUUAUUAUAUUUGAAAAAUGUUUAGACUAUAAUUUUUAAUUUUGUGUAUUCUACAUGCAAAUAACUUAUUAUAAAAAAAAAAAAUUCUCAUCGGAAGUUUAGCAAAUUAUACCAUCCGUUAUUCAAACUAGCACAAGCUAUAAUAAUAAAUAUGAACACAAAUGCAUAUCUUUUAAAACCUAUAAAUUUUGUAAAUACUAAAACUUUUUCUCCUUUGGAACUUGGGGAGUAAUUGGCGAUGCAUUAAAUAUAAAUUCUUUUGUCAUAAAUAGAACCUUUAAUAGUUUUCACAUGUAUGAAGUGUGGUUGAGUGUUGAGAGCGUGUUUACGCAAGGCCGUAUUAAGUUACAAGAAUUAAAAACGCGAUCUGCGAAGAAACAAAGAAGAAGAUAGAGAGAGAAAAAAGGAAACUACCGUCUCUGUCUUCUUCUCUGCACACUUCCAAUCCUUUUACUUUUACCAAAAAUAUACACAGAAACUUGACUUCUCAGAUAAUUUGAGCUAAAAUUUGGGUGUGAGAGCUCUUAGAUCAAAUAUACCAAACUUGCAGGGAUUUAUUUAGCCAUUGGGCCCGCUCUUGUCCUUUAAAGCAAACCCACAACAGUGGCGUUCAAUUGGGUCUCUUUUCUUAGAAUUAACCUUUUCCUCCUUAUCGCCUUUCAGUCUCCCGUUUUUUUUGCAUCUGGGUCUCACUGAUUAUUAUCUAUCAAGAACCGUAGAUAAUCUUUAAUUCAUUAGUUCACUGUGUUUUAUGGGUUUUCUUUAAUUAGAGUAGUUAUUUGAAUAAUAGGGGGUCAAAUAAUGUUGUAGGUGGCAAAUUGUCAAUGCCAUGUUGUUUCCAAUUGAUAAUAUCUAAAAGAGUCGCUAAUUAUUUUAUUUUGUUUAUUUGUACAUUGUUUUGAUAACUGUGGUAGUGGAUUGAUUUUCUUCAUUGAGCUUAUUUAAUUGUUGUUGAAUUUGGUAUUGUCAGUCUCAAUUAUUUUGUUUAUUAUAUAUUCCCAGGCUGUUUUCACUUAUACUUUGAGAAGAUGAGUAGUAUGGAUUAUAUGAAUUUAUGAAUGUCUAGUAGUUUUGAUCGGGUGUUUAAUUCAUUAGUUAUGGCAAGAAACUGUCUUUUUCUUAAGGGGUUGAUGUUUUUUUUCCGUUCAAAAAUCCAAAUUCAGCUAAAUGUCGUUGCUGCUAUCUCUAAGCAUAUUGAACAUGGACAAGAGAGUGAAGUUAAGUCCAACAAAAUAAAUUUAUAUUAACAAGGUCUUAAUUCUAAUAGCCAAUAUCACUUCCGCAAUUUGAUCUCAAUAUUAUUGUCCUCCUUUCGCCAGUUAUUCGUAUAGAGACACUCAUCUGUGGUUGCAUUCUUUCUCUGUUUCAUUUAAUGAGUCUUUUUUGUGGCAUAAUAUAUCAGUGUUUAUUUUCCAAAAAAAAAAACAAGCGAUAUGUCAUUGGGUUUACCAUGUGCUUUUCUAAACUUGAUCUGCCACUUAUAAAACAUUUAGUUUUUAAUGCCAAUUUGUAAAAAAAAAAAAUGUCUUUCCUAGCUGUUGAGGGACUUCCUCAUAUGGGUAGAGCAAGAUGUUGGGCCUUGGUGUCCUCUAGUGCUAGCUGUAAGUAGUGCUUUCACAUUAUACAACUCAUCGCUAUCAUAUAGUUUAGUUAACUGAUACCCUGUUUGUUUGGGUAGUGGCUGGAGUAGUAUAAUGUGUAAUCACUUCUUCUCAAAGAAGUAAGUAAAUUGAAAGGAUUACUCGCUAAUGUGUAUUAAAAUUACUUGUAAAAAAUUGUAGUAAAGCCCUCUUUAAACUAUAUUUUUUGAUAUGUUGCUUAUAUAUGGGCUCAAGUAAUGUAAUUUUGUAUGCAUAAGCAGAAACGAAGGAUUCUAUAUGUGCAUAAAACAGGCACGGAAGCAUGCAUUACUAUAUUUAGUUGGGUUUCAAUGCAAAACUUAUUGCAAGGAGUUUCAACUUGCAUCAUGGUUGGAAAAUGACUAAUAGUCAUUGUUCACUGUUGAGUGUUGAAUAUAUCAACUCAUUACUCGUCGCACGAUUUAUGACUCGACAUAUGUGAUAGUUUACUCUGUGCCUUGAUUGGAUUAUUAUCAAUUUUAUAUAUGCCUUUAAAUUUGUUAGCUUUGUUGAGGUGUAAAUGUGUAGGUGUACACAUGAGGCAAGAGCUGAGGUAAUAUAUGCAAGUGAAAUGAUUUUACUGACCUUGUGUUGUGUUAAAUAGUGUAAUUGGUUGAGAUGUUUUUUGGUUUAUGCAUAGUGCAUUUUAAGUGUAAUGAGUAUGGACAGGUAUGAAACAGAAGCUGGGAAGCAUAUGGUUUGGUUUGUGGAAGAAGAGAUGUAGUCGGGGGUUCAACUUUUCAUGACACACACACUUGACACUUGGUUUGUCCUAUUCCUAUUUGGGGCUGUACCAAAACAAAGGGAUCUUUGGUGAGUUGGUUAUGCAGCCUGUUGAGUAAGAUGUUUUUAUUGGGGGAAAAUGCUUUACUUGUGUAUCAACAAUAGAAGCAAGCGGGUGUUAUUAACUACUACGGUCUACACUACAUAUAUUUUCCCC
rnacentral:lncRNA from 1 species